rnacentral:lncRNA from 1 species
ACAAAUUGUUGAAUUUCUACGAGCUUCGGAUGAAGCGUUAGCGCGUGGAUCUCGCGUGGAGACCGUGGAUUCGGUGGGCAUUUCGUGGAAUUGAGGUGUGUGCGGUUGCAAGGACUUGCAGUGUGAUCGGUUGGAGGAUUCCAAGCGGUCGUGGACUGGCAAAGAUAAUCUACAACGAGGAUUCGGUAUUUUGAGUCUUGUAUUUUUGCUAAAUCACUUGUACUCAUAUUUUCUUAGUGG